UCUGGUUGAUCCUGCCAGUAGUCAUAUGCUUGUCUCAAAGAUUAAGCCAUGCAUGUCUAAGUAUAAGCAAUUUAUACAGUGAAACUGCGAAUGGCUCAUUAAAUCAGUUAUCGUUUAUUUGAUAGUUCCUUUACUACAUGGUAUAACUGUGGUAAUUCUAGAGCUAAUACAUGCUUAAAAUCUCGACCCUUUGGAAGAGAUGUAUUUAUUAGAUAAAAAAUCAAUGUCUUCGGACUCUUUGAUGAUUCAUAAUAACUUUUCGAAUCGCAUGGCCUUGUGCUGGCGAUGGUUCAUUCAAAUUUCUGCCCUAUCAACUUUCGAUGGUAGGAUAGUGGCCUACCAUGGUUUCAACGGGUAACGGGGAAUAAGGGUUCGAUUCCGGAGAGGGAGCCUGAGAAACGGCUACCACAUCCAAGGAAGGCAGCAGGCGCGCAAAUUACCCAAUCCUAAUUCAGGGAGGUAGUGACAAUAAAUAACGAUACAGGGCCCAUUCGGGUCUUGUAAUUGGAAUGAGUACAAUGUAAAUACCUUAACGAGGAACAAUUGGAGGGCAAGUCUGGUGCCAGCAGCCGCGGUAAUUCCAGCUCCAAUAGCGUAUAUUAAAGUUGUUGCAGUUAAAAAGCUCGUAGUUGAACUUUGGGCCCGGUUGGCCGGUCCGAUUUUUUCGUGUACUGGAUUUCCAACGGGGCCUUUCCUUCUGGCUAACCUUGAGUCCUUGUGGCUCUUGGCGAACCAGGACUUUUACUUUGAAAAAAUUAGAGUGUUCAAAGCAGGCGUAUUGCUCGAAUAUAUUAGCAUGGAAUAAUAGAAUAGGACGUUUGGUUCUAUUUUGUUGGUUUCUAGGACCAUCGUAAUGAUUAAUAGGGACGGUCGGGGGCAUCAGUAUUCAAUUGUCAGAGGUGAAAUUCUUGGAUUUAUUGAAGACUAACUACUGCGAAAGCAUUUGCCAAGGACGUUUUCAUUAAUCAAGAACGAAAGUUAGGGGAUCGAAGAUGAUCAGAUACCGUCGUAGUCUUAACCAUAAACUAUGCCGACUAGGGAUCGGGUGGUGUUUUUUUAAUGACCCACUCGGCACCUUACGAGAAAUCAAAGUCUUUGGGUUCUGGGGGAGUAUGGUCGCAAGGCUGAAACUUAAAGGAAUUGACGGAAGGGCACCACCAGGAGUGGAGCCUGCGGCUUAAUUUGACUCAACACGGGGAAACUCACCAGGUCCAGACACAAUAAGGAUUGACAGAUUGAGAGCUCUUUCUUGAUUUUGUGGGUGGUGGUGCAUGGCCGUUCUUAGUUGGUGGAGUGAUUUGUCUGCUUAAUUGCGAUAACGAACGAGACCUUAACCUACUAAAUAGUGGUGCUAGCAUUUGCUGGUUAUCCACUUCUUAGAGGGACUAUCGGUUUCAAGCCGAUGGAAGUUUGAGGCAAUAACAGGUCUGUGAUGCCCUUAGACGUUCUGGGCCGCACGCGCGCUACACUGACGGAGCCAGCGAGUCUAACCUUGCCGAGAGGUCUUGGUAAUCUUGUGAAACUCCGUCGUGCUGGGGA
rnacentral:rRNA from 1 species